UGGGAUUUGGAGGAGGAAGGAAUGGGGAGUGAAUGUGAUGGGCUUGGGGGUCUCCAUUUGGCUGAUAGAAAUGGCCUGGAAUUAGACACUGGUGAUGCUCAUACGAAACACCGGAAAACCACUGAGCUGUCCUCUUUAAAUGGUGAAUUUUAUUUCCUUAUAAAAAUUGCUAAAACGAACCCCAGAUGCCACCACACACCUAGGAGAAUGGCCCAACCUGGAGUGAUAGUGUCAGAUACAGGGAGGGUGUGGGGCAGCAGGAACUCACUGCUGCGGCUGCCGCAGAAGACAAUUCAGCGGCUUCUUACAGAACCAAACACAGCCUUAGCGUGUGUCCAGCGAUCACGUUCCUGAGCACUAACCCAGAGGUGAGAACUCAGUCCACACGAAAACCUGAACACAGGUUUCAUUUAUAAUUGCCAGGAAUUGGAAGCCCUGAGGUGCCCUUCAGAUGAAAUAUUAUCCAGCAGUAGGAAGAAAUGAACUCUCGCACACGGGAAGACAUGGAGGAACCUUAAAUGCUAUGCGGUGUGAAAGAAGCCAGUCUGGAAAGGCUACCCAGUAUGUGUGUGUGCGUGUGUGUGUGUGUGUGUGUGUGUGUGUGUGUGUGUGUGUGCUCAGUCUUGUCUGGAUCUGUGGCCCCAUGGACUGCAGCCUGCUAGGCUUCUGCGGGUUGCCGCUUCCUCCUCCAGGGGAUCUUUCCAACCCAGAGGUCAAACCUGAGUCUUGCGUCCCCUGCACGGGCCGGCUGAUUCUUUACCACUGUGCCGCCAGGGAAGCCCGCAGUGUACAGCUCCGACUAUAAAAUUCUGGAAAAAGCAAGACUGUGGAGACAGUGAAAGCAUCAUUGGCUGCCAGGGGUGGGAGUGUGGUGUGGAGAGGGGUGAGUAGAGAGAGCAUGGAGGGCUUUUCAGGGCAGGAAAUCCUCUCCGUGAUGCUGCAGUGGUGGAUACAUUAAACAUCUGUCCGAACUCAUGGAAGAUGCAAGACCAAGAGUGAGCCCUGGUUUAAACCGUGGACUCUGGGUGAUGACGACGUGCCUCUCUGGGUUCAUCAGUAACCAGUGGGCCGCUCUGGUGGGGACGUCGGUGGUGCGGGAUCUGUACCUCGGGGUGGGGGAGGCACACGGGAAGUCUCCAUCCCUUCUUCUCAAGUUUGUUGUGAACCUGAAACUGCUAAAAAAAAAAAAAAAAAAGGGACGAAUGAGAAAAUAGAAGCGCAUGCCUUGAGGAAGAAUAAUCUGUUUUGCAGUGAGAUGCCGUUCUCUCUGUGGGGAGGGGGAGAGGCCUCCCCACUGCCACCCCCAGACUUUUGCUGUUUCCUUGCAUCUUUGGUGCCUGCAACACUGUUCCCGUUAACACGGUUAUGGGGAGCCCUCGCCCGAGGUCUGCUUAUCCUGGACGGGGUCGCCGGCUGUCUCGUCCAGCUGCAGGGCGUUGGAGUUCCGCCCGGCAAGGCGUGACGUCCUGGCUGGGUCGCCGGGAGCCGACCCGCUUUGGAGGCAUCCUUGGAGGGCUGGCAUUGGGGACCCUCGCUGGCAGCCACGCUGUGCCCCCUUCCCCCUGAGGCUGCGCUGCCUGCAGGCUGUUGCCCAGAGACCAUGCAGAGGAGCCGGGUCACCUGUUGCUGCCUGGGGCCCCCUCCUUCCAUGGAGCACCUCUUAACAGGGCAGGACCGCCACGGGGAAAGGAUGGCGUGAACUGCCAUCCCCGUGGCUGGGAGUGUCCACAGGCCGGCUGCUGCCUGUCCUGCUCCAGUCCGUUCAGUCCAGGCACCAGGCUUCCACCCGCAGAUGCGGGCUGCUUUGACUCAGGGACAGUAAUUUGUUGCCGAGGCUCUUGUAUCCGGAUAAGAGCUCGUUUUCAUCAACUAUUUCCAUUUAUUUGAGUCUGACUUCCAGGCUGGCCUUAUGUGCUUUAGCCAGAAACAGAACUUGAAAUUUAUAAAGCGACUCUGCAGGGAUCGCCUGAUGAAGAACUCAGAUGAUUGUCUGAACUCAGGGAAACAAGAACUACAGCUUCGUGUGACAGGUGAUGGGCGGAAUAUUCAGAGAGGUCGAGGGGCUUUCUCAAAGUCACACAGCACGUGGCAGUACCAAGGCUGGUUCCCGAUCUUGACGCACAGGGAACGUGGUCCCCACGUCGGCCGCGGUGGGGUGGGCAGGUGCCCGAGGCAGAACAGUGGGGUGGAGUUCGGGGAAGCGGUACGUAAUCGCCAGUGCUGGUGUGAUGGCCCGGCCGGAUGAGCCUGCCCCGGGGCCUGUGGGUGUGGAACCCAGGCCGCAGCUGCGCGCCCCAGGGCUGCCUUUCCCCAAGUGGAAUUUCACACUUCACCCGGCACUUUAUGGCAAAAGUGUCGUCACCUCAGGCGGUGCACCCUGAGGGGCCAGGGUGCUGGCUCCAGGCAGCUGAGGUCAUAUCAAAGGAGUGAUUUCAGUGAGCCCAGACUCUUGCAUCUUCCGGUGCAGGGAAAUCCGCUAAAUUGAUUAACUUGAGCUGAUCGUCUGAUGUUCCAACUGCUUGAUUUUGUUGCCACAACCCCUGUGUAACCUGGCUCUCCGUUACCUUUUCAGAGCAGUCCCUCAGUGAUCUAAGAGGCUGUUUUUCUGGACUUAAGUCCUCAGAAAGUCCACCAAAUAAAUUAUAAUUUUCAACUUUGAGGUUGUGCGUUUUCAGGGGACAGCUGGCUUUCCUUGUUGGCAAGCAGUCUGCCCCUAAAAAUUUCCUACUUUUUCCCCAGCAAACGUUUCCCAUGAAGCGAAGAGAACUUUCAGUUAUUUGUGAUUUUAGAAUCAAUAUUGAGUUUAUUCAAUGUACAUUCCCUAAGACUUAGCUUUCCUAAAGCUCGUGAAUUUGAUUUAUGGCUGUUCUCUAUGAAUCGAGGUGAUUUUACAAUCCCUUAAGAAGAAUGAGACUUUGGUACUUCCCCGUGGUCCAUUGUUAAGAUUCGCCUUCAGUGCAGAGGGCGCAGCUUCGAUCCCUGGUUGGGAGCUCAGAUUUCAUGUGCUGUGGGGUGCAGCCAAAAAAAUUAAAAAAUGGGCCUUUGAUAACAGUGGGAUCUCACUUACAAACUCAAAUGCCCAUGAAUUUUAACAAAAAUUCUGUUUCAGGGAUGAAAAUCAUUCUUUCAUUACUUUGAUUAGUAAAGUGUAACCUAAUUAUACUGAAAAUUGGGAAACUCACAUUCUCUGAAACAUUCUAGACAUUUUUGAACUUUCUUUUAAAUUAUACUUUGGGUGCAAAGUCUUAUGACUAAACUUGCCAUUCCGUUGCCAGUUUUGACUGGGAUGACGAGUGUAAACAGGUCCAGGGUAUAAAAGUGAAACCUUAUUUCACUUUAAGAUGAUUUAAGAUGUUAUCAAAAUACCCAGACGGAUUUAAAAUGUUAAGAAAAACCCAAAAAAACCUUUUGGCCAACCCAGCGUGAUACUGGUUAGGUGCUUUUGGUAUCUUUUUACUUGUCCUUUUUACUCCUUUUGGCUCUCUUAAGCCUCUGAUUCAGAGAAGGCGAUGGCAACCCACUCCAGUACUCUUGCCUGGAAACUCCCAUGGAUGGAGGAGCCUGGUGGGCUGCAGUCCAUGGGGUUGCUAGGAGUCAGGCACGACUGAGCGACUUCACUUUCACUUUUCACUUUCAUGCAUUGGAGAAGGAGAUGGCAACCCGCUCCAGUGUCCUUGCCUGGAGAAUCCCAGGGACAGGGGAGCCUGGCUGGCUGGCGUCUCUGGGGUCGCACAGAGUCGGACACGACUGAGGCGACUUAGCAGCAAGCCUCUGAUUGCUUCCAACCUGGCUCUGAAGACACCUGAUGGCCGUUUCUUUGGGUCCUUUGCACCUGCGUGUAACUUACAGCUUUGCCGGGCCUGGGUUCCGCAUUCUUCUGUGUCUCUCUGGCCAGGCCUCUCCUUGAUAUCAGCCCCCUCCCACCCUCAUCUGCCCUUUGGGUCCAGCAGUUAGGUUGUGUUUACUGGCUUGAUUCUGGUUUUCCUUUUUGAAUAAAAUUUGAAGUUAAAAAAGAGGUAAUUCAAAGACGACCAGGGAGUGAGCAGCUUUGGGGCCUGAGAUCCUGACAGCAAAGGUGGUUUGUGGGUAGCUGAAGGUGGACUGUGGGGGCUGCAGGGUCCCCGAGUGAACUCCCAGCCCUGACUGCCCAGCGCCGUGCUGGAGUCAGGGCCCGCGCCAGCUCCCUCGGUGCUUGCUUCUUAGGGCGCUUGAGGCCCAGGCACCUGCAGACAGGCCUCAGAUGCAGCCUCGGGGGCCACUUGGGGAAGCUUUGCCUGUGAAUUGUCUGGACACCCACCCUGCCCAUUCCCCCCACCCUGAGUUGCUGGAGAUCUGUUUCGUGUUAUAAGGCUUUGGGGUUCUCUCUCUGCGGUGACAUCCCUGCAACACAGAAAUGGUGGUGCCAUUUGACCUGGCCUCUCCAGGGACACUGCUGUCAUAGCCUGGGCUAUGUCACCCAGAUCUACACAUUACACAUUAGUGUCCUAACCCCCGUGUCCAGAAAGUGUUUAGUUGCCAACUCAUGUCCGACUCUAUUUGACCCACGGACUGUAGCCCGCCAGGCUCCUCUGUCCAUGGGAUUCUCCAGGCAAGAAUACUGGAGUGGGUUGCCUUUCUCUUCUCCAUGGGAUCUUCCUGACCCAGGGAUUGAACCCAGGUCUCCCUGUUUGUAGAGGGAUUCUUUCCAUCUGAGCCACCAGGGAAGCACCCCCCUCUCCAAAUCCAGAAUGUGAUUGUAUUUGGAGCUGGGCUGUAAAGAGGCGAUUCAGGUAAACCAGGAUCACUCGGGUGGGCCGUCAUCCAGCGUGACUCUGGUCCUCAUAAUCAGGGGAGUUUGGAGACGGACGUGCCCACAGGGACAAGCCAGGUGAGCGUGAAGACGGCCGUCCACAGGUGGAGGGGAGGGACCUCGGCUCCUUCCCUGGCAGGUCCCGCUUGGAACCUGACGCGGCGGUCUUGGACGUGCAGCCCCGAAGCCGAGAGGCAGGAGAUGUCCGAUGUCACCCCAUCUGCGGUCCUUUGUCUCAGCAGCCCCAGCAAACUCCUGCAGGUGCCAAGGGGUCAGGAAAGGGACGGGGACCUCCAGGCAGAGAGCUCACUGCACAGGACAUCCAGGGGGAUGCUGGCGCCCAGCUGGACCGGGACUCUGGUCCUGAUGGCCAGGUGGUGCCCUUUGACCUCGGAGAAACGGCAGGUAUUCCCCGGCUCAGUUCUCCCAUGUGAUGGCGAUCCUGGUCCUUCUGCGGUGUGGGGUCAGGAGGAGUCUUGCUUCAGGUCUGGCUCUGGGGGAUGGACUCUCUCUGUGGACAGUAGGUAAACUCAGGGAAUGGGCAUCUCUUUCUGGAAAAACAAAAACAAACAAACAAAAAAAAACAGUCCUUGGACUUGGGAUUGCUGCAGGGCUGUGUGAAGCAGCGUUGGGAUCUGUGCGCUGGAACGCCAGGGGGAAUCUGCUCCCCUCCCGUGAGAGUCACCGUCAUGUCUGAUCCCAGCGGCUUGCGCGACUUGGACGUUAAGUGUGUCUGGCUUUGGUACAGCCUCUGCUCUGGUGUUAUCUCUCAGCAUCACCUAAUGAGGCCGCCUUGAGAAGGAUUUUAUUUCUCUUUUCCUAAUACUUUCCAAACAACCAGGCUCCGUCCUCUAGGCUUUUUAAGGCAGUAAGGAAGAGUGAGGGCUUCCCAGGUGGCACUAGCGUUAAAGAACUCGCCUGCCAGUGCAGGAGACGUAAAGAGACGGGGGUUCGAUCCUUGGGUCGGAAAGAUGCCUCGCAGGAGGAAGUGGCAACCCGCUCCAGUAUUCUUGCAGGAGAAUCCUGUGAACAGAGGAGCCUGGCGGGCUGCAGUCGAUGGGGUCACCAAGAGUCAGACACGACUGAAGUGACUUAGCACGCGUGCAAAGAAGAGUGAACUACAUGGCUUUUGUUUGAAGUGGGUGUUUGCCUUUGGCGGAGCCUCUUCCCCCACUGGAGGUGUAAUAUUUUGGAGGAGGUGCUCUGCUGUUUCCUCGGGCGCCCUGCACAUGACUUAAUUAGGCAGGCUUGAUUGCCUUCUCUGGGUCUCGCUUUUUCUGUCACCUUUAUGAGCCGAUAGCCUCCUGAUGGCUCGAUAAAAACUCCAAGAAAAAGAAAGCCUUAAUGAGUAUAGAUUUCCUUGCAAUUUGCAUUUGUAAGUGAACAUUCUUGGUAAUGACUGAAGGCGGAAAGUGUAAAAGUGGAUUGAUUAAGUAAUUUUCCUGAUCAGGGCGAGGCUCUUCCAUUUAAGCUGGUGCAGCCAGUCCCAUUAACCCUUGCCUUGAGUUUUCCUUUAUUUAUGACAUCUUUGUGAAGGUUCGGGUUCCAGGGGGCAGCUUGGGAGGUCACAGCAUUGUUUUGUUCCAUUCAGGGGCACUGGGUUCCAGCCAGUGACUGGAGUGAGAGUCCCUGUAGGUGGUUCUCGGUACUUUUGCCUUAAGCAUCUUUGCUCUACUUUCUUCCUACAAGUGAUGGGCCGUAGGGCAACUGUGCUGUAAAAGAUAAAAGAGAGACGUUAAAAAGGACAUAAUGAAACAGGAGACAUGAGUAAUAAAAAAAGGCUUUAUUGUGACAUACAAGACAUUGGAAGAAGGGCUGACUCACUGGAAAACGCCCUGAUACUGGGAAGGACUGAGGGCAGGAGGGAAAGGGGACGCCAGACGACGAGAUGCGUGGAUGGCAUCACUGACUCGAUGGACAUGAGUCUGAGCAAACUCCAGGAGAUAGUGGAGGACAGGGAGGCCUGGCGUGCUGCAGUCCGUGGGGUUGCAAAGAGUUGGAUAGGACUGAGCGACUGAACGGCAACAAGGUGUGUGUAGGUUCAUGGCAGCGCUGCACGAGUGAUGUUAUCAUAUGGGUUGUACCUGAACUCUUGUCUUCCAGGCCAUUGUCUCUACAGGUUUUUUGCUUGCCGAUUUGUCUCCUCAUUUGGCAUCGCGCUGUUCCUUUUCUCUAAACGUCUUCCUUUGUUAGGAGAGGUGCAUGUCACUAGGCUGUGUCUAACUCUGUGACCCCAUGGGGCCUCUGAAGAGAUGGUCCAGGAGAACCAGCCCCGCCCACACCUGGGUCUGGGAUUUCAGCCUCCAGGACCAGGAGGAAAUGGUCUGGUAUUUGAGCCGCCCAGGCUGUGGGCUUUGUUACAGCCGGAGCGGUCUCACACGAAAAUGGAGCCGACUGGGAAGAUAUACACAGCUUCACUUCACCUGCAAUUAAAUAGCAGUUACUCAGUGAGUACUAGCAGUGCUGAGCACGUUCGCAUACAUUUUUAAAAAAAUUCUUGCCUUCUCCAGUACCAUCGGGGCUGGCCCCCCACCUUACAGUUGAAGAUGGUAUGGCAGGUUCUCUCCGGCCACCUGGCCGAGGCUGGGGAGGUCAGCUCUGUCCAGCUUGAAGGCCGGAGCUGUCUCCCUGUCCCUGGGCAUCUCCUGUCCCGUGUUCUGACAAGUACUACAGGCAUGUCUGGCUGCCUGGACAUCCACGGUCGGGGAGGGGCGAUGCCUUGAGGGGCUGUCUCAGCCCCGCCGCCAGGGAGGGUGGUGGCCACACUUGCUCUAGAACCGUCGACCACCCGUGGGUUCCACUGUCUCAGCGGCGGACGGCGGCCACGCAUCAUGCAUGCAUCAUCCGUUCCCUGGAGAGGUGGCUCAGACCUCCCUUGUCCCCGCUGACAUCCUGGCCCCUGGGGCUCCCUCACUGAGUCCUGACCCCCACCCCCAGGGCCUGGUUGUUGAUUAAAGGCGGGGGGCACACAGCCUUCCGGAGUGUGACCGCGGGCGCCUGCCUGUGGUGUUGACGAGGCUUUUCUCUAAUGUGCGGAAGGGGCCAUCGGCUGGCUGGGACCAGAGCGUGGACCGGAGAAACAGCAGCGGCGGGUGGUGCUGACUCAGCUUUGCUGGCCUCAUCCCUUCUCCGCGUGCGCCUGUGGGCCCCACCCGGACCACAUCUGCUGUCCCGGGGCUUAUGGCCGACCCCUUGCAGCAUCUUGGCAGACGAGGUCUGUGCUGGGCGGGGACAGAGAGCCCUUCCCUGCCCUGCUCCAGGCUCUGCUUCCCGCUUUCUUGUCUGUAUGACGAGGCAGCCAGCCCCUCCCCCGGGCUCUGGGCGUUGAAGUCUGUUCAGUGGAGGAACCCCAGGCCUUAUCCUGCUUCGUGUGUCUCCCCAGAGAAGCAGAGGCCCAGCAGUCAAGGAUUCGGAAGGGAGAUCUGGGCCAGGGUCCGCGCCUCAGUUGUGCAGCGCUGGACACAUGCCUCGCCCUCCCUGGCGCCAGAGGGCUCAGGUGUUAAGACGGGUGCUACCACGUCUGUGUGCGUUGUCACUUCCAUGCACACUCACAGCCCACCCGUGAUGCCAGGCACUGGGUGAACACUGCUGAAUGGGGGGUGAGAUUCGUCAGUGGCAGUGGGGGGUGGACGGUGCCUGGGAAGCCCUAGGAACCAUCGGGGCAUCUGGCAGGAGACGGAACGCAAAGGUCAGGAGGAGGCUCGGGAGCAGGAGCCAGAACGAGGUGGUGGGGAGGGCGGAUGGCUGACGGCUGCCUCUGCCACCCAGCCCGAGCGUCUUGUGCUCAGGACUGGAGACCUCGUCCACCUCUGCUUGUCCAUGGUGACUGGCCCUGGUCUUAGCAGGCAUGCCCCAUGGUUGGCAGCUUCCGAGGGCUCAGUGCCCCAUGGUUGGCAGCUUCCGGGGGCUCAGUGCCCCAAGGUUGGCAGCUUCCGGGGGCUCAGCCUUCAUCCAGGUGGGAGCCGUGUUCCGAGGACCCCCGCCUGCCUUGACCCACCACUUGAUGGAGUAAGGUGGUGACCCCCCUCCUGCUAGAGAAAAGCUCAGGGUCCCCAGGAGACCGGAUGGACCCGAGCUCUGUCUGGUGACAUCUAUCCACAGUCUCGAGAGUGGGCAAGGCUCUGAUGGGGGUACAGACGACACCCUGGGCACCAGCACUGUGCCUCCCGGCCCCGAGCCCGGCCCCUCCAGACUCCUGAGCGCCGUGCUCUCCGCGGCUCUACCUGGUUGCCAAGGCAGUUCAUGCGGCCACGGUGAUCUCUCUCUGUCGGUUAUUCACGUGCCUGUACGUUCUCGUGCAUCAGCUGUAACAAGUGUGUUUUCCUGUUGCCUUGCACAGACGCCUCCCUCCCUGGAGGACCCAUGUGGGUCCCGGUUGGAAACCCUCAG
ensembl:lncRNA